UACGUAGGGCGCAAGCGUUGUCCGGAAUUACUGGGCGUAAAGGGCGCGUAGGCGGCCACUGCAAGUCAGUUGUGAAAUCUCCGGGCUUAACCCGGAAAGGUCAACUGAUACUGCAGGGCUAGAGUGCAGAAGGGGCAACUGGAAUUCUCGGUGUAGCGGUGAAAUGCGUAGAUAUCGAGAGGAACACCUGCGGCGAAGGCGGGUUGCUGGGCUGACACUGACGCUGAGGCGUGAAAGCCAGGGGAGCGAACGGG
rnacentral:rRNA from 1 species